rnacentral:rRNA from 1 species
GAUGAACGCUGACAGAAUGCUUAACACAUGCAAGUCUUUGGCGAAGCUGUGCUUGCACAGCCUAGCCAAGGCGGACGGGUGAGCAACGCGUAAGGAACUUGCCCUGCAGUCAGGGAUAACAGACGGAAACGACUGAUAAGACCUGGUAAAGUCAGGCGGACUCAUGUCCAGCCUGAUGAAAAGAGAUGCUGCAGGAGAGCCUUGCGUCCUAUUAGCUUGUUGGUGGGGUAACGGCCCACCAAGGCGAUGAUAGGUAGCCGGCCUGAGAGGGUGGACGGCCACAAGGGGACUGAGAUACGGCCCUUACUCCUACGGGAGGCAGCAGUGGGGAAUAUUGGACAAUGGGGGCAACCCUGAUCCAGCAAUUCUGUGUGCACGAUGAAGGUUUUCGGAUUGUAAAGUGCUUUCAGCAGGGAAGAAAAAAAUGACGGUACCUGCAGAAGAAGCGACGGCUAAAUACGUG